GGGGGUAUAGCUCAGUGGUAGAGUGCAUGCCUAGCAUGCAUGAGGUCCUGGGUUCAAUCCCCAGUACCUCCA
rnacentral:tRNA from 1 species